rnacentral:tRNA from 4 species
GCGGAUGUAGCCAAGUGGAUCAAGGCAAU